AGCAGCCGCGGUAAUUCCAGCUCCAAUAGCGUAUAUUAAAGUUGUUGCAGUUAAAAAGCUCGUAGUUGAAUUUCGGGAUCAAGUCGUCGGUCGUGCUCAGGUACGUACUGGCGUCAUUGAUUUCUCCCUUCUGACGAACCAUGAUGUCAUUAAUUUGGUGUCAUGGGAAAUCAGGACUGUUACUUUGAAAAAUUAGAGUGUUUAAAGCAGGCUCACGCUUGAAUACAUUAGCAUGGAAUAAUGAAAUAGGACGUUCGAUCCUAUUUUGUUGGUUUUUAGGAUCAACGUAAUGAUUAAUAGGGAUAGUUGGGGGCAUUAGUAUUCAAUUGUCAGAGGUGAAAUUCUUGGAUUUAUUGAAGACUAACUACUGCGAAAGCAUUUGCCAAGGAUGUUUUCAUUAAUCAAGAACGAAAGUUAGGGGAUCGAAGACGAUCAGAUACCGUCGUAGUCUUAACCAUAAACU
rnacentral:misc_RNA from 1 species